GGCGCGCGGAGAAGGCGGGAAAGCGCGGCAGGUCCGGCCCGCUCCCGCAAGGAGAGCUCCGAGUGCGGGAUCUGCACCUCGGCCCUGCGCGGGAAGGAUUCGGCUGCCAUGGAAAAGCACAAAACUCGUCUGGGGUACAGAUACUCCACAUUCCUGCAUUGAAAUUGGCAGAAAUUGGCUUCCUGGAGAAACCGACAGCGUGUGUCACCUGGCUUCACGUGUUUUAAAUAAAUAGCACAAGAAAAUGAGUAUACAGGAGAUCUGCUUCUGUCAGCUAAAAUGUUUUCCCUGAAGCAGUUUUAAUGAAAACAGGAGCUCCAUGAGACCUGGAAGCUCUUCAGUCCCAUGGGAUGCAGAAUGGCCUGGACUGGUCCCUGUCACCUGAACAUGUUCUCAGGGAAGAUGAGUUAUGUGGCCCAGCACUGCACUAUGCUUGCCUGGAGAAGAGGCACGUAAAGCAGGAGAACAGCAAAACUAUAUAAUGGUACUAUGUUGAAUUUACUGCUGUAGAUUUGGGAAAAAAAACAAAAGUACUCCCCUCCUGCACCA